ensembl:lncRNA
GCCUUCCUGGGACGCUGCAGCCGUGAGGACGGAGCGGACGCACGGGAGCGCCUCGCUGCUGACCGUGCGAGCCGCUCGGCAGAUGGGCUGUGCUCGGACGCGCCGGCGGCAGCCCCGACAGCCGCGUGUCGGUUUUACCCCGCCAGUACGCGGUGCAGCCCACAAACCGGCGUUUGCUCACGGGCCCGGGACCGUACCUCGUUCCGCUUGGGCCGCGGUCCCUGCAGAUGCGCUGCGUUUAGCUGGACGCUACAGCCAGACAUGAGCAAUGUCCCCUGAACAAAGGCUUCACCGCUCCCAAACGUGACCGCGGGUGCGCCCGUCUGGCCGCACAAACAAGCUCCGGGUGCUGGCCGCUUAAAGGUGUUGCUUUGAGAACUCCAUUGCAACUUCAUUUCAAAAGUACUGGAGACCCGAAGGACAGAAAGACAGCCAAGACUGGGUUUUACAAAUGCUAGUGGCUGUAUAACAGUAGUAAUAUGUGAAAUCUAUCGUGAGCACCAAAACUGGAGCUUUGACUAAAAUAAUUUUGCCAAGUGCUCAUUUCUUUAUCCAGAACAAGCAUGCAUGGUACCUGGGCUCUACGUCUUGUCAAGUGAUUCCUCACACCACAUUUUUAUGUUAUGCGAUAUUGUCAGUCGUGUUUUUUUCAACCUUUUCUGCAGAAAACGAAACAGUGCCAUUAUCUCUGCCAGUCCUCUGAGGACUGGUGGUUCUUAAGGAAAAUCCACAUGGAGCCUGACCCAUCAUAGGUCAGAAAAAUGACCCUGUGAUUAAGCCUGGAGAGGCAGUCUGGGGGGCUGACUGAGGCUUGAGGCUGUGUGGGAGGAAAUGGUUUGCAAUAAUUUCCCUCCUUUUGCACAUUGGGAAGCAGUCUGCUUUUGUAACUGGACUUGUACCAGUGUCAUUAACUGAAUCCAUUUUUUUCUCCAUCUAAGUCAAAUAAUCUACAGUAACUUGAAUUUCUGAAUAAUUAUUCAGGUCUAAAGGGUUAGGAGAAGAGAGGAUGGACUAAAUAUUUGCAGACUGUAUCUGUAAACUUGGGAGAGUUACUUUAAAAGCCUUGAGUUACACAGCACGGUGAAAUACUGGUCAGCGUCUGCCCUUACUUUCUCUAAAGCAGCACCAGAGAGGGUUGCAUUUGGUUGUUCUUGGGCUCUUAUGUGAACUUUAAUAUGCAGCUGCCCCAGCAUUGUGGCUUCAUGAUGCUCAGCACCAUGAGUGUCAUGCCCACACCAGAGCCCCGCUGCCACCUGACCAGGAUGUGCCAGAAGAGCCCAGCACUGUCACAUUUCAGAUGCAGGGGCAGCAGCAGUGGCUGGCAGCUAGAGAAGGAAGUAUCCCUUCAGAUAGCCAGAAAGUGUUUGUUCUGGAGUGUUUUCCUACUCCUAGUCUCCUGGCAAACGCUCCUCUUCUGUAACUGGAUGCUUUAGCAGCAAGACCACUAGUACUGGCCAAGCAAAUGCACACAAAGUGACUGCCCACCAGGUCUUUAUGUUCCUAAGGGACUGCCUUAGCAUAAAGGAAAUAAUCCUCCUGCUGCAAGUGGGAUCCACUGAGAAGAUGAAACCCCCUCUCAGACAGCUUCUGCCCCUGGUGAGUGGGAUGUGCUGACCGUGGAGCUGGUGGCUGGCAUGUUUCACACAGUGAGCUGAGCUCCUGCCUCCUCAGGACCAAGCAAUAACACAUGAGGAGUGAGCCUCUCCUGAGAGGAACAACAUGCCCUGCCCUGUGCCUGUGUGCACUAACCACUGAGGAGUUAGAGUGAACCCCUUGUUUUGGCUGGGACAUCUCCGUAUAGCUGUGCAACUUUACGGGGAAUUAAAAUUCUCUGGAACAG